rnacentral:tRNA from 1 species
UAUAUUUUAGUAUAUGAUGUACAUAGAAUUUUGAUUUCUAAAGGAAUAGUUUAACUCUGUUAAAUAUAA